GGGAGGUUGCUUCGGUAACUGACCUUGCGGCGGACGGGUGAGUAAUACUUAGGAAUCUGCCUAUUAAUGGGGGACAACAUCUCGGAAGGGAUGCUAAUACCGCAUACGCCCUACGGGGGAAAGCAGGGGAUCACUGGUGACCUUGCGUUAAUAGAUGAGCCUAAGUCGGAUUAGCUAGUUGGUGGGGUAAAGGCCUACCAAGGCGACGAUCUGUAGCGGGUCUGAGAGGAUGAUCCGCCACACUGGGACUGAGACACGGCCCAGACUCCUACGGGAGGCAGCAGUGGGGAAUAUUGGACAAUGGGGGGAACCCUGAUCCAGCCAUGCCGCGUGUGUGAAGAAGGCCUUAUGGUUGUAAAGCACUUUAAGCGAGGAGGAGGCUCUCUUGGUUAAUACCCAAGAUGAGUUGACGUUACUCGCAGAAUAAGCACCGGCUAACUCUGUGUCAGCAGCCGCGGUAAUACAGAGGGUGCGAGCGUUAAUCGAAUUUACUGGGCGUAAAGCGUGCGUAGGCGGCUUUUUAAGUCGGAUGUGAGAUCCCCGAGCUUAACUUGGGAAUUGCAUUCGAUACUGGGAAGCUAGAGUAUGGGAGAGUAUGGUAGAAUUCCAGGUGUAGCGGUGAAAUGCGUAGAGAUCUGGAGGAAUACCGAUGGCGAAGGCAGCCAUUUGGCCUAAUACUGACGCUGAGGUACGAGAGCAUGGGGAGCAAACAGGAUUAGA
rnacentral:rRNA from 1 species